rnacentral:rRNA from 1 species
UACGGAGGGUGCAAACGUUGCUCGGAAUCACUGGGCGUAAAGGGUGCGUAGGCGGGUCUUUAAGUCAGGGGUGAAAUCCUGGAGCUCAACUCCAGAACUGCCUUCGAUACUGGGAGUCUUGAGUUCGGGAGAGGUGAGUGGAACUGCGAGUGUAGAGGUGAAAUUCGUAGAUAUUCGCAAGAACACCAGUGGCGAAGGCGGCUCACUGGCCCGAUACUGACGCUGAGGUGCGAAAGCGUGGGGAGCAAACAGG